rnacentral:lncRNA from 1 species
CAGCUCCAGCACCAGCAGCCCCGUCCGUCUCCAGCUCCAGCACCAGCGAUCCCGAUCCAGCAGCCCAGCUAGCUCUCCGCCUCCAGCCUCUAAAAGAUUAUUGGUAAAUGAUUUGGUUUUUGAUGUUUGAUAAUUGGAUCUUUUGUAUUUUGAUCUUGUGGUUGAGUUUGGUGAUUUUUAUGAGGGUGCUGUUUGGUAAAUGAUUUGGUUUUUGAUGUCUGAGUUUGGUGAUUUUUGAUGUCUGAGUUUGGUUUGUCUAAAAAAAGCUCCUUCAUUUGGCACGAGGACAAAAGAGUCAUGAUAAAACCUCGUUGAAAGUCACCGAUCAUACAAGAAUACCCAAGCACACAAUUCCUCGAACAAAAUAUAAAAAUCAGAGUUCUGACCAGAAUACUUUGUCUGUUUGUUCUGUACCCCAUUAAAGGUCUUGACAGCCAUGAAAAUAAAACCAGGUGGCAGACAAAAUCAUCUCAAAUAAAACUUGUUUUGUUUAGUGGUAUAGUUAUAGUUAUAGUUAUAGUUAUAGCUAUUAAAAUACUAUAGUUGUUUUGUAUGAAUGGUGUGAAAUAUGAUUUUCAAUUUGCCCAACUAAUUGUGGAGUUGAAAAUCUGGGAAUAAAUACUUUCAGU